UACGAAGGGGGCUAGCGUUGCUCGGAAUCACUGGGCGUAAAGCGCACGUAGGCGGCUUUCUAAGUCAGGGGUGAAAUCCUGGAGCUCAACUCCAGAACUGCCUUUGAUACUGGAGAGCUUGAGUCCGGAAGAGGUGAGUGGAACUCCGAGUGUAGAGGUGAAAUUCGUAGAUAUUACGGAAGAACACCAGUGGCGAAGGCGGCUCACUGGUCCGGUACUGACGCUGAGGUGCGAAAGCGUGGGGAGCAACAGG
rnacentral:rRNA from 1 species